UUGUGUCAGUCUUAAUUCAUGAUAGACACAUCAUCAUUUUUGUUUCCUGGAUGAGUUGGAGUUUGGAGGGCUUAUAAAAGGCCUUUCCUCACCAUACGCUGCAAACCAUUCCUUUCCUUCUUCACUCAUCGGUGUUGACAUUUUGAGUUCGGUUUCCCUCAAAGACAAAGAAAAUGUCUUUCCAGCAAUCUCAACAAUGCAAGCAACCGCCAGUGUAUCCACCAUCGUCCUGCGUGAAUUCAUGUCAGCCUUCGGGAGGCUCUAAGCCGUGCCCUCCUCCAGCGUGCCAAGGCUCUGGUGGCGGUACAUACCAAGUCUCCGGUGGGAGCACGGACCAAGGCUCUGGUGGCAAUGCUUGCCAAGUCUCCGGUGGGGGCACUUGCCAAGGCUCUGGUGGCAAUGCUUGCCAAGUCUCCGGUGGGAACACAUGCCAAGGAUCCGGUGGCAAUGCUUGCCAAGUCUCCGGUGGGAACACGUGCCAAGGAUCCGGUGGCAGUACAUACCAAGUCUCUGGUGGGAGCACAUGCCAAGGAUAUGGUGGCAGUGCUUGCCAAUCAGAAAAUCCGUGCCAAGGGUCAACUGGAAAUCAAUCCCAGUGCCCACCAGUUUCCCAGCAGCCCAAGCAAUGCUAGAGUCCUCCAAAGAGUCAGUCAUCAAGACAUGGAAGCAUAUGAAUAAAUGUACCUGUCCUUGAUUCAGAA